UACGGGGGGGGGCAAGCGUUUGUUCGGAAUUACUGGGCGUAAAGGGCGCGUAGGCGGUUCGCUAAGUUGAAUGUGAAAACUCUGGGCUUAACCCAGAGCCUGCAUUCAAUACUGGCGGGCUAGAGUUCUGGAGGGGAUAGCGGAAUUCCUGGUGUAGCGGUGAAAUGCGUAGAUAUCAGGAGGAACACCGGUGGCGAAGGCGGCUAUCUGGACAGAGUCUGACGCUGAGGCGCGAAAGCUAGGGGAGCAAACAGG
rnacentral:rRNA from 1 species